UACGUAGGGUGCGAGCGUUAAUCGGAAUUACUGGGCGUAAAGCGUGCGUAGGCGGUUCGUUAAGUUCGUUGUGAAAGCCCCGGGCUCAACCUGGGAACUGCAAUGGAAACUGGCGGGCUUGAGUGUGGCAGAGGGGGGUGGAAUUCCGCGUGUAGCAGUGAAAUGCGCAGAUAUCAGGAGGAACACCGAUGGCGAAGGCGGCGAUCUGGCCCAACAUUGACACUGAGACCCGAAAGCGUGGGGAUCAAACAGG
rnacentral:rRNA from 1 species